ACAGCAGAUGGAAGCUCUUUUACCUGCUGUGCAACACACACACACACACACACACGCUGAAUACAGAAACGUGUUGGUGGCUGUUGCCCAGGUAUUUGAGGUAUUUCUGCGGAUACAACAGAAUGGCGAAGAAGUCAGACAACUUUAAACUGAAAGCUGUUGAGCUCACAGAUCAGAUCAGUGUUUGACUAGCAAGACAACCAAACACUCACAGUCUCCUGGUCCAGGCAGGGCUUCGAUGAGGAAGAUGAUCUGAUCCCGUGGCUAUCCCCAGCGUCUCUUAUUAGCCAGAACACCGUGCAUACAACCAAAACAUAAAUGCAUUUAAGAAACUUAAAUAACAAUCAUACAUUACAACUAAAAUGUAUCUUUUCUGCUAAUUCCUAAAUAUAUAGUUAUUUUAAAGCUGCUGUAUCAGUACAUCGUGCUGUGUACCUAUGGUAUUCUUUUUUUGUUUGGGUCCCAUAAACUUUACAGUAAAAUACCGGCAUGCUGCAGUGUGUAAUUGUAUUAUUUAAUAUACAUUUUAUUUAAGUGUAUCCAAUUCAUUUUGUUUCUAUUUGUAAUGUUUUGCCAUAAUGUGUUUUGUAUGCGUUUCUUUAUUAAGUGCUGCAUUUAUUUGAGCUGGGGUAGGGAAGAAAAUGUACAUGGUAUCAUUAUUGAGAGCGCCGUUUUAUUCAAGGAUGGCGUCUAUCACAAAUUUAGUAUCUGAGUGUGGCGCUUAUUCAAGGU